UACGGAGGGUGCAAGCGUUGUUCGGAAUCACUGGGCGUAAAGGGCGCGUAGGCGGCCUGUUAAGUCCGAUGUGAAAGCCCCCGGCUCACCCGGGGAAGUGCGUCGGAUACUGGCAGGCUCGAGUAUCGGAGAGGAGAGUGGAAUUCCUGGUGUAGCGGUGAAAUGCGUAGAUAUCAGGAGGAACACCCGUGGCGAAGGCGGCUCUCUGGCCGAAUACUGACGCUGAGGCGCGAAAGCGUGGGGAUCAAACAGG
rnacentral:misc_RNA from 1 species